UACGUAGGCAGCGAGCGUUGUUCGGAGUUACUGGGCGUAAAGGGUGUGUAGGCGGUUGUUUAAGUUUGGUGUGAAAUCUCCCGGCUCAACUGGGAGGGUGCGCCGAAUACUGAAUGACUAGAGUGUGGGAGAGGUGAGUGGAAUUCCUGGUGUAGCGGUGAAAUGCGUAGAUAUCAGGAGGAACACCAGUAGCGAAGGCGGCACUCUGGGCCGGUACUGACGCUGAGGAGCGAAAGCGUGGGGAGCGAACAGG
rnacentral:rRNA from 1 species